GGCCAAAUCACGUUGAAACACCUGUUCUCAUUCGAUCACCGAAGUUAAAUACCGUUGAACCUGGUCAGUACCUUGAUGAGUGACUGCUGGGAAAUACAAAGUGUUGUAA